AUCUUUGGUGAGAAGGAAUGCCUAUGAAACUAAAUCUGGUUAAAUGAAUUUUGUUUUUCCUGAGCUUAUAUUUGGCCUCUUGGUUGGGUUUGAAGUGCAGAUGAGAUCAAAUUAGGUAGUUUUGAUAUGGACUGAGCAUGGUCAUAGCUAUUUGCCAUUCAGAAGACAAACAAGUAGUAACUCCAGCAGGCCUAGCAUACUGGUAAAUGGGAAUUGAUGAGCAGAUUGCUUCCAAAGUUUCAAGAGUAUGAAGUUUGUGGACUGCAUUAGAUCCUUUGAAAGAG